GCCUAACACAUGCAAGUCGAGCGGCAGCACAAGGGAGUUUACUCCUGAGGUGGCGAGCGGCGGACGGGUGAGUAAUGCCUAGGGAUCUGCCCAGUCGAGGGGGAUAACAGUUGGAAACGACUGCUAAUACCGCAUACGCCCUACGGGGGAAAGAGGGGGACUUUCGGGCCUCUCGCGAUUGGAUGAACCUAGGUGGGAUUAGCUAGUUGGUGAGGUAAUGGCUCACCAAGGCGACGAUCCCUAGCUGUUCUGAGAGGAUGAUCAGCCACACUGGGACUGAGACACGGCCCAGACUCCUACGGGAGGCAGCAGUGGGGAAUAUUGCACAAUGGGGGAAACCCUGAUGCAGCCAUGCCGCGUGUGUGAAGAAGGCCUUCGGGUUGUAAAGCACUUUCAGUAGGGAGGAAAGGGUGAGUCUUAAUACCGCUCAUCUGUGACGUUACCUACAGAAGAAGGACCGGCUAACUCCGUGCCAGCAGCCGCGGUAAUACGGAGGGUCCAAGCGUUAAUCGGAAUUACUGGGCGUAA
rnacentral:rRNA from 1 species